AGUGAACGCUGGCGGUAGGCCUAACACAUGCAAGUCGAACGGCAGCACAGUAAGAGCUUGCUCUUACGGGUGGCGAGUGGCGGACGGGUGAGGAAUACAUCGGAAUCUACUUUUUCGUGGGGGAUAACGUAGGGAAACUUACGCUAAUACCGCAUACGACCUACGGGUGAAAGCAGGGGAUCUUCGGACCUUGCGCGAUUGAAUGAGCCGAUGUCGGAUUAGCUAGUUGGCGGGGUAAAGGCCCACCAAGGCGACGAUCCGUAGCUGGUCUGAGAGGAUGAUCAGCCACACGGGAACUGAGCCACGGUACAGACUCCUACGGGAGGCAGCAGUGGCGAAUAUUGGACAAUGGGCGCAAGCCUGAUCCAGCCAUACCGCGUGGGUGAAGAAGGCCUUCGGGUUGUAAAGCCCUUUUGUUGGGAAAGAAAAGCAGCAGGUUAAUACCCCGCUGUUCUGACGGUACCCAAAGAAUAAGCACCGGCUAACUUCGUG
rnacentral:rRNA from 1 species